rnacentral:rRNA from 1 species
ACGAACGCUGGCGGCGUGCCUAAUACAUGCCAGUCGAGCGAAGUUUUUCUGGUGCUUGCACCGGAAAAACUUAGCGGCGAACGGGUGAGUAACACGUAAAGAACCUGCCUCAUAGACUGGGACAACUAUUGGAAACGAUAGCUAAUACCGGAUAAUAGCAUUAACUGCAUGGUUGAUGUUUAAAAGUUGGUUUUGCUAACACUAUGAGCUGGCUUUGCGGUGCAUUAGCUAGUUGGUGGGGUAAAGGCCUACCAAGGCGACGAUGCAUAGCCGACCUGAGAGGGUGAUCGGCCACACUGGGACUGAGACACGGCCCAGACUCCUACGGGAGGCAGCAGUAGGGAAUCUUCCGCAAUGGGCGAAAGCCUGACGGAGCCACGCCGCGUGAGUGAAGAAGGAUUUCGGUUCGUAAAGCUCUGUUGUUAGGGAAGAAGGAUUGUGUAGUAACUAUACACAGUAGAGACGGUACCUAACCAGAAAGCCACGGCUAACUACGUG